rnacentral:rRNA from 1 species
GAGUUUGAUCCUGGCUCAGGACGAACGCUGGCGGCGUGCUUAACACAUGCAAGUCGAGCGGAAAGGCCCUUCGGGGUACUCGAGCGGCGAACGGGUGAGUAACACGUGAGGAACCUGCCCUUAGCUCUGGGAUAGCUUCGGGAAACCGGAAUUAAUACCGGAUACGACCACGGCCGGCAUCGGCUGUGGUGGAAAGAUAUCGGCUAGGGAUGGACUCGCGGCCUAUCAGCUUGUUGGUGAGGUAACGGCUCACCAAGGCGACGACGGGUAGCCGGCCUGAGAGGGCGACCGGCCACACUGGGACUGAGACACGGCCCAGACUCCUACGGGAGGCAGCAGUGGGGAAUAUUGCGCAAUGGGCGAAAGCCUGACGCAGCAACGCCGCGUGGGGGAUGAAUGCCUUCGGGUUGUAAACCCCUUUCAGCAGGGACGAAGCGAAAGUGACGGUACCUGCAGAAGAAGCGCCGGCUAACUACGUGCCAGCAGCCGCGGUAAUACGUAGGGCGCGAGCGUUGUCCGGAAUUAUUGGGCGUAAAGAGCUCGUAGGUGGUUUGUUACGUCUGCUGUGAAAACCUAGGGCUUAACCCUGGGCCUGCAGUGGAUACGGGCAGACUAGAGGUAGGUAGGGGAGAAUGGAAUUCCCGGUGUAGCGGUGAAAUGCGCAGAUAUCGGGAGGAACACCGGUGGCGAAAGCGGUUCUCUGGGCCUUACCUGACACUGAGGAGCGAAAGCGUGGGGAGCGAACAGGAUUAGAUACCCUGGUAGUCCACGCCGUAAACGUUGGGCGCUAGGUGUGGGGGUCCUUCCACGGACUCCGUGCCGCAGCUAACGCAUUUAAGCGCCCCGCCUGGGGGAGUACGGGCCGCAAGGCCUAAAACUCAACGAAUUGACGGGGGGCGCGCACAAUA